AUUGAACGCUGGCGGCAGGCCUAACACAUGCAAGUCGAACGAGUGGCGGACGGGUGAGUAAUGUCUGGGAAACUGCCUGAUGGAGGGGGAUAACUACUGGAAACGGUAGAUAAUACCGCAUACCAUCGGAUGUGCCCCGAGGGGAUUAGCUAGUAGGUGGGGUACAGGCUCACCUAGGCGACGAUCCCUAGCUGGUAUGAGAGGCUGACAAGCCACACUGGAACUGAGACACGGUCCAGACUCCUACGUGAGGCAGCAGUUGGGAAUAUUGCACAAGGGGCGCAAUCCUGAUGCAGCCAUGCCGCGUGUAUGAAGAAGGCCUUCGGGUUGUAAAGUACUUUCAGCGGGGAGGCGUUACCCGCAGAAGAAGCACCGGCUAACUCCGUGCCAGCCGCCGCGGUAAUAC
rnacentral:rRNA from 1 species